ACUUGGAUAGUUUAUUUAAAAUAUUAGCUUGUGGGGCUAGAGAGAUUGUAGGGAUUUCAGGUA
rnacentral:tRNA from 1 species